rnacentral:rRNA from 1 species
UACGUAGGGUGCGAGCGUUAAUCGGAAUUACUGGGCGUAAAGCGUGCGCAGGCGGUCUGUUAAGACCGAUGUGAAAUCCCCGGGCUUAACCUGGGAACUGCAUUGGUGACUGGCAGGCUUUGAGUGUGGCAGAGGGAGGUAGAAUUCCACGUGUAGCAGUGAAAUGCGUAGAGAUGUGGAGGAAUACCGAUGGCGAAGGCAGCCCCCUGGGCCAAUACUGACGCUCAUGCACGAAAGCGUGGGGGAGCAAACAGG